rnacentral:sRNA from 1 species
UAGGACAGAUUCUUCUUCUUCCGACGAGGA